GGCUCCAUUCUCUGCGUUAUUUUCAUGUUGCGGUGUCAGAACCCAGCCUGGGGGUGCCCCAGUUUGUGUCCGUGGGGUACGUGGAUGGGAACCUCAUCUCGCGCUACGACAGCGAGACUGGGAGGGAUGAGCCCCAGGCAGACUGGAUGGUGGACAACAUGGACACCCAGUACUGGGACACCCAGAGCCAGAUUGCAAAGGACACUGAACAGAUUACACGCUGCAGAGCCGCUACAACCAGAGUGGAGGGGCUCACACACUGCAGCGCAUGUACGGCUGUGACCUCCUGGAGGACGGUAGCACCAGGGGAUAUUUGCAAUACGCCUACGACGGGAGGGACUUCAUCGCCUUCGACAAGGACAUGAUGACGUUCAUUGCAGUGGAUGCAGCAGCGCAAAUCACCAAGAGGAAGUGGGAGGAGGAUGGGACUGUUGCUGAGAGGCGGAAGCACUACCUGGAGCACACCUGUGUUGAGUGGCUGAGAAAAUACGUGAGCUACGGGAGGGCU